AUGUAGUGUUAUAUUGGAUUCCUCUAAUGCAUCUGCAAUUUGGAAAAUGCCACUCUUAAAGAAUUUUUAUGUUGACGGAUUUCAUUUUACAUUAGAGACUUCGGAGGUUGUUCAUAGAAACAUAGAGACUAUAUCUUGGUUGCGUCCGUGGUGUUGUAGAUAUGAUCUUUUUACAAGGAUUCCAAAUUUAAAAAGAAUAGGGAUUCAAGGUCAAAUGUAUUUUGAAAAUGAAAAUUCAGAUGGUUUCUAUAAUUUUGUGCACUUGGAGCAGCUUGAGAAACUAAGCAUCAAAAGGUGGGAUCUCAAACUUCAGUAUAGUGGUAUCCCAUGGAAAACUAGUUUUCUACCCAAUCUUAAGAAGCUCAAAUUCUUUGAGACUAGGUUACCAUGGAGUGAUAUGAGGCUUAUUGGUAUGUUGCCGAAUCUAAAAGAUCUAAAAUUGAUACAUGCUUGUGAAGGCAGAGAGUGGAAGCCAUGUUUGGGAGGGUUCUGUCAAUUGAAAAGGUUGGUAAUUAAAAGUUGGACUUGGAAAUAUUGGAAUGCUGUGGGUGAUCAUUUCCCUGUGCUUCAACAUUUAGAGUUAAGUUGCAGUUCUUUGCGAGAGAUCCCUAUUGCGUUUGCCAAUAUUACCACACUUGAAUUGAUUCAAUUAAAAUACUGCUGGGAUUUCGUUUUGACUUCUGUGAAGCUUAUUCAAGAUGAGCAGCGAAGCUAUGGAAAUGAAGCCCUCCUUGUUCGUUCUAAAUAUAUUCGGCAUCUAUGACGAUAGUACACUUCUCAAAUUAAAGGAAGGAUGUGACGAGGACAACUACAAAGAUUGUGUGGCGAUGAAUUGAAAAGUUAGGAGGCACAAAGCUAAGCAGAGAUGAUGAUGAUGGAAUAAGGAUGUUAUGUAGGUGUUGUUGAGUGAUGAUGGAUAUGAUGUUGUGGUAGCAUAGCAGGAGAUGUAAUAUAUGAAUGGAAAAUUUUAUAUGUAGUCCCAUUUUCUAUUCCAAUCUUUUACUCUCAAGGAUGGAUGUGCGUGAAUAGGAGGAAGACAGUGAGUAAUAUGCUGAAUAAAUAAUUUCACCAGGACUAUGUGGUCUAAUGGUACCCGGGUUGAACUUCUAUUUGGAAGGUUGUAAAUCCAAGCCUUA